rnacentral:tRNA from 1 species
UAUGUUUUAGUAUAUGAUGUAUAAAAGUUUUUGAUACUUUAGGGGUUGGUUUAAUUCCAUCAAACGUAA